rnacentral:miRNA from 1 species
GCAACAAAAUUGCUGCAACUUGCAACAAAAUCUGAUUUCAACGCAUGUUAAGUAGAAAUGUUGACACGUGUUGCCUCGUGAUUUGUAAUUUAUGUGUGUAAACAUUUUCAAUUAACAUGCGUAGAAAUCAGAUUUUGUUGCAAGUUGCAGCAAUUUUGUUG